GGGCCCGUCGUCUAGUGGUUAGGAUGCCACCCUUACGAGGUGGUGGUCCCCGGUUCGAAUCCGGGCGGGCCCACCA
rnacentral:tRNA from 1 species